CUACAGCCAAACUCUGCGUGAAGGAAGAGAGAAAUGAAAGUUGUAAUCAGAAACAGACAAUGAAAACUCCAGCGAAGAAGAGAAGAGGGCUGAGAAGAGAAGCAGGCGGCGACCCUCAGGUGGAGAGUUCCGAAGUCAAGUGCAGAGGCCAGUGAAGGACUCCAAGGCCCUUGAAGAUGGGGAAAUACUAGACACAAGCCGGCUCAGUUCCCUUGUCAAACAGCCCACUAACCUUCAGUGUUUUCAAGAAGUAAUCAGUGAGAAGAGGAUAAUAUAUCACCUGGAAGCAGAAAGAAGUAAAGCAUGUGAAGACUCCAUUUUCACCACAGCUAAGGACCAGUUUUACUCCAGCUCUGAAGGAAAGAUGGGAGACAGAGGAAGUAGGAUUGAGGAAAGAGAUGAGAUGAAUAAUACAUGAAUAAACUGAUAUCUUCACACAAUGGAUCUCAGUAAUUGUGAGGACUGCAACACAGCAAGGUGGAUCUUCAGUGCAUCGGAAAAGACCUGUGAUGAUUAGAACCAGUCUACAUACCACUUCCAUGACAUUCUGGAAAAUGCAAGUCCUUACUGACAAAGAACAGAUUUCUCAGGGUUUCUGGGCUGGAAGGACAGGGAAGAGACUGAGUGCAAAGGAUAGCAUAGAGGACUUUGGGAACAGUGGCAGAAUUGCUGUGCAUCCUGUUUGUGAUGGUGGCUGCUAGCAUUUGUCAAAACUCACAGAAAUUGAGCCCUCCAAAGUAAAUCUUCUCAGAGUUUGUUUUCAUUUUUAAAAUCAACUUAAUUUUCUUAACCGGUCCACGUAUUUCAGAAUGAGAAGCCUGUUUGAGGAACUUGGGUGAUUAUGAACACCAUUAUUUUCAUACAUAGAAGGCAAUUCACAAACAAUGCUGGGCAGCCUGGUAUCCUGUCACCCCAUCGCACUGUCACUUUUCCUCUGGCCGUCCACAUAGCAUCUGGGUAUUUUCCAGAGACUAGAUGUGUGCAUGUCAGCUGCCCUACCAGAAUCUGGCACACACUUGAGUGUGUCUCUGAUCAACUCUGGGGCCCUAAGCACACUCCAGCUUUGCUUCAGCCUCUGUCAAUGUGAAAUGCUCACCAAACAGAAUGACUUCAGACUUUUA